AAAAUCUGAAUCCUUAAAAAAACUAGAAAGUUAAUUGUACUAUCUUGUAUAAAGCAUCAAAUUGAUGGAGUACAGGACAGAUUUGACCACACCUUUUUACAACAUAUCUAAACCUUCCUGUGUUACAAUUUAUUAUUUUAAAGUAUUGCUGGACAGAGAUUAUUCAUAUUACAUUAUCAGCCUUUGUUUCUCUGCACUAAUAUAUUUUGGUAAAACUAUUCACCCAGAAUUAAAAUAGUGUCAAAUGAAGCCGUAGAUGAAAAAGGAAUAGAUUGUAUGAUUCCCUAGUAACUGUGUGAACAGAACUGAUCAGGUAACACAGCUCUGGUGUUAAUUUCCUUACCAUAAAAGGAAAGAUGCUGACCUCAAAUUUAACCUCUGAAAGAGACCUGUUCACAAGCUUUUACACAAGAGAGAAAAUCAGCUUUCCUCACAUUUUUUUUUUUUUUAAUGGGAAACCUGACCACAGAGUCAUCUCUGUGAUUAUGAAACCAAACUAAGACUGCACAGCUUUCUGUUUAGGUUGUCCCACCCAGUAGGCAAGUAUAUAUCAACAUGGACAUGAUAUUUAACUUAGGGAUGCUUUAGAUACCAAGACCGGAGAAUGGUGAUGGGUCUUAGAAUGCCACAUUUGAGCAAGUAAAAUAGUAAAGCACAUAGUGAGUGUACAUCCAUC
rnacentral:lncRNA from 1 species